rnacentral:sRNA from 1 species
ACCAAGGGUUUGACAAUCAGCCACUAUCCGAAUCCAACAACAUAAUGGCCUUGUUGGAAUGUAGCGGAAAGUGAUCCAACUGGGAAUGAUUGGUGAAGAGGGUUUAGCGAGGUUUAAGGUCCCGAGGCACGGAGGGAAGUUUUUCCAUAGACAUUUUGUACAUAUAUACUAAAUGCUCCGUUCCUUCUCUCUUUCCUCAUGCAACGUAGAAACCUAUUCUUGACAGGCCUUUUUCCUACUUAUACCUUUCAGCGUCACGUCUCUUUGAAUGUCCUUCGCAGCCCAAUGGCGAACUACUCUGAUUCCCCCCACAACCUCCUUGACGCCAUAUGUCUCAUAUAGGCCGCUGUAAGGACGCUCUCCCAAGGCUUUUGCUUUCCCCUUCUUAUAUUUCCAAACUUCCUUGCUCGAUCGGCGCAUAUUCCUCUCCCGGAUCUUUUGCAAUUCUGUGUCUUCCAAACACCCCUCUGGCCAUCUGUACCCUCCCAACUCAACCAGAACGGGCCUGGAGAAAUGACCCGAGGAAAUGGGUAUGCAGGACCGGUAAUUAAGAACAGGUCCUUCACCAUGUCACUAUGUUCCCAUGAGUAUAUCCCCGGCAAAUCCAGAGGAAGUGUCUCAUCCCUCUUUCGCCGUUUCAACAAUCCGUUUCUGAGAUCGACUUCUGACUCGUCUGAUGAUGGGACCGAUAACUCGGUAUCGGAACUAAACACAACUUCCUUCCUGACAACUCGGGUGGGCUCCCAGAGACGCUCAAAGGAGAGGUCCAUGGUCUGAUACCAUUUCUUUUUCAUCUGAAAAGGUCUUGUUACCUCGUUUUCUUCUGAUGACGAAGCAGUAUAUCGGAUAUGGUAGUCAUGGCGGUUUCUUUUCCUGCGAGGCUGCGAUUUGGCGCUGGCUUGCCUGCCUCGACUUGGACCAGCAGAAGGGGGUGGGGUGGUCUCCGAGUUGUUAUCUGGGCUGUCGUUGUCCGGAUCCGAGUUUUGGUCGAAUAACUCCGAAGAAGUUGAGAUGAUAAUAGGAGAUCCCAGGCGCAUGGGAAUAUUCCGAAGUGCAUCACGUCGAGCGGACGAAGAAGAUCGGCCGGCAAAAGAGGCUGUUUCGUCUCUCGACGUUCGUUUGGCAGAUGUCCUGGAUCUGUCACUAUUAGAACGACCCUUCACCUUGCCUGGGGCUUUGGCCGAAGUCGCUGCUUUCGAUUGAGGCGUAGUAUCGCGGACUGGCUUUAAAAUUGGAAUAGGAGAGGAUGAGCUGACUUUUGAUAUCCUCGAUUGUUUUGCUUUCUUCUCGCCAUCCGGUGGCGGCGAUAGCGAACGGGGUCGCUUCAUCGAGCUUGACUGGGGCCAUGCUGGCCGAAGACCAAGCUUCGGAGCUGAAAGUAGUAUGGGUGCUCCUUCCUUAAACGCUCUGGCAACCAUUAUGUCAGUCACAUGGCUGGGCAGCAAAAAGCGUCCCACCUACGGCAAAUUUCGGGCUUUUCGAUAUCAUCCCAUUGCCCCAUAAACCCCUCGACACCGUAUUGCGUCUUGAAGAAGUCACUAUUGAACAUACCAAUGAGGCUUUAUGACUGUCAGACAUCCAGCGGCCUCAGAGAAGCUUCUUGAACAAAACUGUCUCACUGGUCUACCCGAUCCUGAAUCGGAUUAUACACAGUCUCGUCCCAUCCAUCAUCCGGCUUCCAAUCCCCAGUUUCAUUCUUGCACACUAUUCCUGCUUGUUCCAUCUCCUUCAUGAGUCCGUCAUGCCUCCGAAAAAGGAUGAGAAAUACUGUCUGUCAUUCCUAGAAUCUCAGUUCGUCUUUACACUUCUCGCUUUACACAAGGUAGAUGUUAGAUGUGAUGAUUGCUUGCAUGAAAUUGAAAACCGUGCUGGGAUCCAACAACAAUGCAUCGGAAAAUGUGCACAGACCACUGAACCCCGU